rnacentral:rRNA from 1 species
CACGGGGGGGAGCAAGCGUUGUUCGGAAUCACUGGGCGUAAAGGGCGUGUAGGCGGUCAAGUAAGUGGAAUGUGAAAGCCCCCGGCUUACCCGGGGAUCUGCAUCCCAAACUGCUUGGCUUGAGUACGGGAGAGGAUAGGGGAAUUCCUGGUGUAGCGGUGAAAUGCGUAGAUAUCAGGAGGAACACCGGUGGCGAAGGCGCCUAUCUGGCCCGAUACUGACGCUGAGGCGCGAAAGCGUGGGGAGCAAACAGG